rnacentral:rRNA from 1 species
GAUGAACGCUGGCGGCGUGCCUAAUACAUGCAAGUCGAGCGAACAGACGAGGAGCUUGCUCCUCUGACGUUAGCGGCGGACGGGUGAGUAACACGUGGAUAACCUACCUAUAAGACUGGGAUAACUUCGGGAAACCGGAGCUAAUACCGGAUAAUAUAUUGAACCGCAUGGUUCAAUAGUGAAAGACGGUUUUGCUGUCACUUAUAGAUGGAUCCGCGCCGCAUUAGCUAGUUGGUAAGGUAACGGCUUACCAAGGCGACGAUGCGUAGCCGACCUGAGAGGGUGAGAGCCAACACUGGAACGGAGAAAGGGCCCAGACUCAGACGGGGGGCAGAAGGGGGGACUCUUCCAAAAGGGGCAAACGCCGGAGGGAGCACCGCCGGGGGAAGAAAGAAGGUCUGGGUAUCAAAAAACUCUUUAAGUGGGAAAGAAAAAAGGGGAAAGAAACUAUGCACGUCUGGAGGGACCCUAAACAGAAGCACACGCCACAUUCGGGC